CGGCGUGCCUAAUACAUGCAAGUCGAGCGGAAUGAUGAAGAAGCUUGCUUUCUUCUGAUUUUAGCGGCGGACGGGUGAGUAACACGUGGGCAACCUACCUUGUAGAUUGGGAUAACUCCGGGAAACCGGGGCUAAUACCGAAUAAUCCAUUUUGCUUCAUGGCGAGAUGUUGAAAGACGGUUUCGGCUGUCACUACAAGAUGGGCCCGCGGCGCAUUAGCUAGUUGGUAGGGUAAUGGCCUACCAAGGCGACGAUGCGUAGCCGACCUGAGAGGGUGAUCGGCCACACUGGGACUGAGACACGGCCCAGACUCCUACGGGAGGCAGCAGUAGGGAAUCUUCCACAAUGGACGAAAGUCUGAUGGAGCAACGCCGCGUGAGUGAAGAAGGUUUUCGGAUCGUAAAACUCUGUUGUAAGGGAAGAACACGUACGAGAGUAACUGCUCGUACCUUGACGGUACCUUAUUAGAAAGCCACGGCUAACUACGUG
rnacentral:rRNA from 1 species